ensembl:lncRNA
CUUUUAAGUCUUUCCCGGGAUUUGAUUAGAGUGCAUCUUUCCUCCCCACUAAGUAACUCAGCUGGGGUGGGUGUUGACCUGAGCAGCUUCUGCAGAGGCUGGAGGAGCCUCUGGGAUCAACUCUUUUUGAUUUGGGAGCAUUGAGGGCCCCAUAGAGAGGCCCACGUGUCAAGGCACUGAGGCCUCUUGCCAACAGCCACAUGAAUGAGGUCAGAAGCAGAUCCUGUAGGCCCAGUCAAGUCUUGGGAGACUACAGCCCUGGCUGCCAGCUUGACGGUAGCCUUCCCCAUAAGCCCCCCUGAGCAUCCAGAUUCCUGACCCUCAGAAGACAUGUGUGGAACUGUUCAUUGUUUUAACCCGCCACGUUUGGGAGUAACUUGUUACACAGCCAUUUAUAACCAUUAUCUCUCCCAUCACAGUGUCGUGGUUCACAGCUGAACUCUGAAACUAGGCUGUCUGGGCUUAACUCCUGGUUAGGCUACUUCAAGGCUGUGUGACUUUGAGCACGUGACUUAAUCUUUCGGUGCCUCAGCUUCCUCAGUUAUAAAAAUGGGGGACACUACUGUUACCUGCUUCCUCGGGUCAUGAGGAUUAAAUACAUACAUAAAAAGGGCUUAGCCAGGUGCCUGGCAUGUAAUUAGCAGUUGGUAAAUGUUGAUUGCUGCUGCUGUUAUGAUUCUGGCUGAUGGGAGAAGGUUGCAGAGACUGAAGAGGAGUUGAGGGAAACACUACCACAGCACCACGAUCAUGACUUCCAGAGAAGUAAGGGUGGGAUGAGUCUUUGCCAGUCCUCCUGAAACAGGUCCCUGUGGUUUUGCCUCCAGGCAGAGCAUGGCCAAGCUCUGUAUAUUGCAGGUGGGACCAUCCUGCCCAGGUGAGGAGAGGCAGCCCUUAGGAUGGCUCCAUGGAUGCCCAUUCUUGAGUGAAGCGGCCAUGAUUCUGAGCACGCAUCCUUGGGU